rnacentral:rRNA from 1 species
CCCUUAGAUGUUCUGGGCCGCACGCGCGCUACACCGAUGCAUUCAACAAGCCUAGCCUUGACCGAGAGGUCCGGGUAAUCUUUGAAACUGCAUCGUGAUGGGGCUAGAUUAUUGCAAUUAUUAAUCUUCAACGAGGAAUGCCUAGUAAGCGUGAUUCAUCAAAUCGCGUUGAUUACGUCCCUGCCCUUUGUACACACCGCCCGUCGCUCCUACCGAUUGAAUGUGUUGGUGAGGAGCUCGGAUUGGCAGCAGUUGGUGGUUCGCCACCGGCUAUUGCUGAGAAGUCCUCCAGACCGCCCCAUUUAGAGGAAGGAGAAGUCGUAACA